rnacentral:lncRNA from 1 species
CUCUCUUUGUCCCCCGCACCAGACCUCUCUUCUCGCUUACUACUCUGAAUCCGCCUGGGGCUUGAGGAAGGGGUCGAUUUUAUAGAAAACGAGGUCAAUUUUUUUAAAAUCUAUAUUUAAUUCGUCGCUUUCCUCUUUUAGUAAUUUUUUUCCCCAAAAAAAAUUGAUUUUUAUUUUUAUAUUUUCACAGUGACACUGGCGGCUGACUACCGGUAAAUGUGGAGAAACUUUUCGUUUUCCGACAUGCGACGGUGAAGUGGGCCCCCAGUGUUUCUUUAUACAGAAAAAGAUACGGGUCAGAAUUGCAAAACAAGGGUUAUUUGCAUAUUAACCCUCUCUCAAACAUCAAACUUCAUUAAAUCCACACAUUUGAGAAAAUAGGAUUUCAAGUUUUCAACCAACAACUAGAUUCAGGAUUCGAGUUUGGAUCUGUAUGUAUAUUUUCAUUACGAUCUAUCCGUUAAUAUAUUAUGUUACUCUGAUAUAUCAUUCGGAUAUAGACAUUUAUUCUUAC